rnacentral:lncRNA from 1 species
GCCCAAGCGGCUGGCAGCUCCCGCGGAUGCCGCGAGAGCUGGGGCUCCUCCUAUUCUGUCGCUGUUUUGUUUGUGUGCUGCGUAGCUCGGGAGCGCAGGGUCUGGUGACUCAGUCCGUCCCCAGCUCCGCCUCCGGUCGGCGUUUUGCCGACUGGAUCUACGAGGCCACUUCAUCUCCAGCCUCUCCGCGGGUCUCUGUAUCGGGUGAUGGGGAGGAUGCCUGCAGACCCGGCGCGCACCCAAUGACUGGCGGCGGUGCAUGCGUCGCCCCCUGUGCAGGCGCAGCUGACGCCUUCUUGGUCCACGCCGAAGCCCCUGCCUGUGUCGGUGUCGGGAAGGAGUGCUUGUUGAGAAGUGGCGAGGGUCAGAAGCAAGGGGGAGCAUCUACAUCUGUAGUCCUCCGCAGUAAACAUGUCGAUUCCUACUUUGGGACUGUAUUUUUUGUUUGUUUGUUUGUUUCCAGCACAUAAAAAGACACUGCUUUCCCAAUGCUGUAAUUUGUAACCAAAUGCACGUUCCAGAUGUGGUGGCACUGGCUUGUAACCCCAGCACUUGGGAUGCUCAAAGUCUGCCUGUACUACAUACAUAUAUCAAGUCCCUAU